rnacentral:rRNA from 1 species
UACGUAGGGUGCAAGCGUUGUCCGGAAUUAUUGGGCGUAAAGAGCUCGUAGGCGGUUUGUCGCGUCGAAUGUGAAAACCCGGGGCUCAACCCCGGGCCUGCAUUCGAUACGGGCAGACUAGAGUUCGGUAGGGGAGUCUGGAAUUCCUGGUGUAGCGGUGAAAUGCGCAGAUAUCAGGAGGAACCCCGGUGGCGAAGGCGGGACUCUGGGCCGAUACCGACGCUGAGGAGCGAAAGCGUGGGGAGCGAACAGG